GCGCACCAGUCGAGAAUUUUUCUCAAUGGGCGAAAGCCUGAAGGAGCGACGCCGCGUGGAGGAUGAAGGCCUUCGGGUUGUAAACUCCUGUCAUUUGAGAACAAGCGUCGGCAAGUAACUACUGCCGACUUGAUAGUAUCAGAAGAGGAAGGGACGGCUAACUCUGUGCCAGCAGCCGCGGUAAUACAGAGGUCCCAAGCGUUGUUCGGAUUCAUUGGGCGUAAAGGGUGCGUAGGUGGCGCCAUAAGUCAGGUGUGAAAUUUCGGAGCUUAACUCCGAAACUGCAUUUGAUACUGUGGUGCUUGAGGACUGGAGAGGAGACUGGAAUUUACGGUGUAGCAGUGAAAUGCGUAGAGAUCGUAAGGAAGACCAGUGGCGAAGGCGGGUCUCUGGACAGUUCCUGACACUGAGGCACGAAGGCCAGGGGAGCAAACGGGAUUAGAUACCCCU
rnacentral:rRNA from 1 species